rnacentral:rRNA from 1 species
GACGAACGCUGGCGGCGUGGAUUAGGCAUGCAAGUCGAACGGUAUCAUCCUUUCGGGGGUGAGAGAGUGGCGAACUGGUGAGUAACACGUAGGUUAUCUACCCUCAAGACGGGGACAACCCAGGGAAACUUGGGCUAAUACCGGAUGUGAGCAACUUUUAGUUGUUUGAAAGGUGGCGUAAGCUGUCGCUUGGGGAUGAGCCUGCGUCCUAUUAGUUAGUUGGUGAGGUAACGGCUCACCUAGGCAAUGAUAGGUAGGCGGCCUUAACGGGUGGUCGCCCACACUGGGAUUGAGAUACGGCCCAGACUCCUACGGGAGGCAGCAGUCGAGAAUAGUCUACAAUGGUCGGAAGACUGAUAGUGCGACGCCGCGUGAACGAUGAAUCCCUUCGGGGUGUAAAGUUCUUUUAUAUGUGAGCAGUGCUUCUUAUAUUAACAGUAUGGGGAGAGAGAUAUUAGCAUAUGAAUAAGCAACGGCUAACUCCGUGCCCAGCAGCCGACGGUAAACUCGUUA